ACUCUCGGCUUCAUUUUAUUGGUUGUAUUGGGGUGGGGGCUCAGGGGCCGUGGCCUUCCUCACACACAGACUGUUGGGACCUCUCAUACUCCAAGUGACCUUGGUUAGACCCACACUGUACAAAUCUUUGGGCCAGUGGGCUUCUGGGGGAAGAAAAGAGACAGUUGAGAAAUAUUUGUUACAGCCGUCCAUCUCUGAGACUUGGUGCGUUGGGAGCAUCUCAGCCCUUUGGAGACCUUAGUCUUCACCAUUGGUGAAGGGUGCCCACACUCCCUAACUUGUUUGUUUGUUUUUCAAGACAAAGUCUUUCUAUGUAUCCCUGGCUGUUCUAGAACUCCCUGUGUAGAGCAGGCUAGCCUCAAACUCAUAGAAAUCCUCCUGCCUCUGUGUGCUGGGGGAUUAAGGGCAUGCCCCCCCCCUUUCAAUGCUAGUCAGAUUCUCCCUGCUUCCCUCUUGAGCUUCCUCCAUCCCUUCUCCGCAUCCCUCCUCCCAGGCUGUCAUCAGUCAGCCGGUCCUCCCUCCCCAUCCCAGUACCUCCUGGCUGCUGCCUCACCAGUCUCUCCAGCGCAUGUGCGGCUGCAUCCUGAACACUCACAAAGAGUUGUUCUGGGGUCAUUCUCUCCAGGAGUCCUGCCCGGGUCAAGGUCUCCAGCACCAAGGCUGUGUGGGAAAGGUGUCAGGUGCUCGGGCCCCCAGUCCCUUCCACAAGUGUCCAGUCACAGUCCUUCCCCCCUCCCAUCCUUCACGUCACACACCAUUGCACUGAGCCAAGAGGAGACAGAUCCCAGCAUCCUGGCAUCGCCUGCAUCCGCAAAGCUGAUGCCGCUGAAGUCCAGGACCACCACUCUGAUGGGCUCAACACCUAAGAUGGAAGAAGGCAGGAACAUCCAGACACCUGUGUGGCUCAUGGCCAAAGCCCCCUCUUCUCAUCCCAUCUCACCUUUGUCAGCCCCAGAUGCCACUCCAAGAUGUGGCGGAACUGCCCACGGGUUGCGAAGUAGAGUGGUGUUGGAUAGCUCAGGAUGCAGAGACCAGGAACCUGGAGGAGCUGAAGGAUAGUAGAAGAAGGGCCCCAGCCACAACAGCACUGCCAGGACAACUAUGCAGGAGAAGAGGCCGGCCAGCUGCAGGGAAAGAAAGCCGACAAGGGAGGAAAGGAAACCUCCAUCCCCACAUGUGUAGGAGCCCGUCUCCCUGCCCAGCCUGUCUCGCGUCCCUCAGAAGUCUCCCUCCUCCCAAACCUCCUCCCACACACAGGUCCUGCAAACCACCCUCUUGGUGUUCUGCCAGUCACACUGAGCCCCUCCCUCCAGCUAAAUGCCUGUCAUUUGCCGAUCGCUCCCAGAUGUGUGCAGAUUGGCCUCACACUAUUGAAGCGCAUCUCCAUCUUAAAAGGUCCUCUUGGUGCUGAUGACAAGCAGGCUAGUCAUCUGCUUAGGAACCAACAAGUAAUCACAGAAAACAAAAAAAAAACUAGGGCAAGAAUCACGUGGUGUAAUAUCUCUUUCUUUUUUAGGGGUCCUUAUUGAAAA